rnacentral:rRNA from 1 species
UACGUAGGGUGCGAGCGUUGUCCGGAAUUAUUGGGCGUAAAGAGCGUGUAGGCGGCCAGGUAGGUCUGGUGUGAAAACUCGAGGCUUAACCUCGAGAUGUCAUCGGAAACCAUCUGGCUAGAGUCCGGAAGAGGAGAGUGGAAUUCCUGGUGUAGCGGUGAAAUGCGCAGAUAUCAGGAAGAACACCAAUGGCGAAAGCAGCUCUCUGGGACGGUACUGACGCUGAGACGCGAAAGCGUGGGGAGCAAACAGG